AGUAUGUAUCAGCUAGAGACUUCUGACAUGAUGGCUUUUCGGGUUCCUCUUGAAGGACACAGCAAUUUAUUGAUAUGUACCAACAACGUUCACAGCAGCCACUAACCUGGCAUGCAGCUGCCUAAGACUCAUUAUGGCCACUUUCUGGAAGAAAGGAGAGGAAUUACAUUACCUUACACCUUUCACCAUAGAGAUAUCUGGAAGCUGAGCCACUUCUUUAGACUUUGACAAAUGUCCUAAAACAAGCUUAUCUUUCUCCCUAUUUGGAACAUGCUUGCCAGCCUGAAACUGCAAAUGUCAUCAUCAUGAAGGCAGCAGUUGAAUCCAACAGUUCUAGUUUGGGAAUAAAGGUCUUUUCACCACGGAACACCGAGUGGA